GGUUGUAGCUCGGUGGUAGAGCACUUGCCUAGCAUGUGUGAGGCACUGGGUUCAAUUCUAAGCACCG
rnacentral:tRNA from 1 species